rnacentral:tRNA from 1 species
GGCGCUAUGGUGCAAUGGUUAGCACGCGGCCCUUUCAAGGCCGAAAUACGGGUUCGACUCCCGUUAGCGCUACCA